GAGGGAUGAGGAUAUAAUUCCAUACGUCUGCAAAUCUGAAACACAGUGUUGAUACAAUUGACAUGCACUACCAUCUGACCUC